GACGAACGCUGGCGGCGUGCUUAACACAUGCAAGUCGAACGGAAAGGCCUGUCCUUCCUUGUGUUGGACGGGUACUCGAGUGGCGAACGGGUGAGUAACACGUGAGUGAUCUGCCCCCAACUUGGGUAUAAGCCUGGGAAACUGGGUCUAAUUCCCGAUAGGACUGCAGGGUGGUGCCUGUGGUGGAAAACGAUUUUCUAGUGGUUGGGGAUGAGCUCGCGGCCUAUCAGCUUGUUGGUGGGGUAAUGGCCUACCAAGGCGGCGACGGGUAGCCGGCCUGGGAGGGUGGACGGCCACAUUGGGACUGAGAUACGGCCCAGACUCCUACGGGAGGCAGCAGGGGGGAAUAUUGCACAAUGGGCGGAAGCCUGAUGCAGCGACGCCGCGUGGGGGAUGACGGCCUUCGGGUUGUAAACUCCUUUCGACCGCGAGGAAGCCGCCUGGUUGGAAGGGUGGUGACGGUAGUGGUAGAAGAAGCACCGGCUAACUACGUG
rnacentral:rRNA from 1 species